CGUUAUAUGUCAAUAAAUUUUCGGAAGGCAAUAGUAUCAGCAGGACAAGCAGGAGUGUAAUCAGUCAGGUGAUCGAGGUUCUGCCAUAAUGUAGUUAGAGCAGAAUAGUACUGUAGAGACGUCAUCUCAGCCUGAUCCAAACGGUCUACACUCCGUUGCAGAUCAUACACCUGUGCUAUAUUACCUUGCUUGGAAUAAGUCUAAAAAACAGUAUCCCAAAUAUCCUUGACUGUAUGAAGAGACAAGAAACCUUCACCAAUCUCUGGAAUCAUGGAGUGAAUCAACCAACUCAUAACCAAGAAGUUGUCCUGAUCCCACUUAUCAAAUCUGAG
rnacentral:lncRNA from 1 species